UCCGGUUUGACACCGGCAGUCUCCCUAGAGUGCCCGGCAUAACCCGCUGGUCAGUAGCGGUUCAAGCCCAGGUAAGGUUCUUCGCGUUGCGUCGAAUUGAACCACAUGUUCCACCGCUUGUGCGGGCCCCCGUCAAUUCCUUUGAGUUUCAGUCUUGCGACCGUACUCCCCAGGCGCAGGACUUAACGCGUUAGCUACGGGACGCACCCCGUCGGGAUGCACCCCAAGUCCUGAUCGUUUAGGGCUAGGACUAC
rnacentral:misc_RNA from 1 species